AUUGAACGCUGGCGGCAGGCCUAACACAUGCAAGUCGAACGGUAGCACAGAGGAGCUUGCUCCUUGGGUGACGAGUGGCGGACGGGUGAGUAAUGUCUGGGAAACUGCCCGAUGGAGGGGGAUAACUACUGGAAACGGUAGCUAAUACCGCAUAACGUCUUCGGACCAAAGUGGGGGACCUUCGGGCCUCACACCAUCGGAUGUGCCCAGAUGGGAUUAGCUAGUAGGUGGGGUAAUGGCUCACCUAGGCGACGAUCCCUAGCUGGUCUGAGAGGAUGACCAGCCACACUGGAACUGAGACACGGUCCAGACUCCUACGGGAGGCAGCAGUAGGGAAUAUUGCACAAUGGGCGCAAGCCUGAUGCAGCCAUGCCGCGUGUAUGAAGAAGGCCUUCGGGUUGUAAAGUACUUUCAGCGGGGAGGAAGGCGUUAAGGUUAAUAACCUUGGCGAUUGACGUUACCCGCAGAAGAAGCACCGGCUAACUCCGUGCCAGCAGCCGCAGUAAGAC
rnacentral:rRNA from 1 species